CCACUACUGAGGAGUCCCACAAUGAGGCGAAACGGCCGUCCAGUAC
rnacentral:hammerhead_ribozyme from 1 species